UGAGAGCGGGCUUUGAAGCUGCAGGGUUCAUACCUCUGAGGAGUUAAACCUCUCAA
rnacentral:tRNA from 1 species